AUCUAACUGAUGAGUCCCAAAUAGGACGAAACGCGCAUCCUGGAC
rnacentral:hammerhead_ribozyme from 1 species